rnacentral:rRNA from 1 species
GACGAACGCUGGCGGCGUGCUUAACACAUGCAAGUCGAACGGAAAGGCCCUGCUUUUGUGCGGUGGUCGAGUGGCGAACGGGGGAGUAACACGUGAGUAACCUGUCCCUGACCGUGGGGUAUCUUCAGGAAACUGGGGCUCUUACCGGAUAGGAGCUCUUGCUGCAUGGUGGGGGUUGGAUAGAUUCGGUGGUUGGGGAUGGAAUCGCGGCCUAUCAGCUUGUUGGUGGGGUAGUGGCUUACCAAGGCUUUGACGGGUAGCCGGCCUGAGAGGGUGACCGGCCACAUUGGGACUGAGAUACGGCCCAGACUCCUACGGGAGGCAGCAGUGGGGAAUAUUACACAAUGGGCGGAAGCCUGAUGCAGCAACGCCGCGUGCGGGAUGACGGCCUUCGGGUUGUAAACCGCUUUCGCCUGUCACGAAGCGUGAGUGACGGUAACGGGUAAAGAAGCACCGGCUAACUACGUG